CCUACGGGAGGCAGCAGUGGGGAAUAUUGGGCAAUGGGCGCAAGCCUGACCCAGCAACGCCGCGUGUAGGAAGAAGGCUCUCGGGUUGUAAACUUCUUUUAUCAGGGACGAAGCAAGUGACGGUACCUGAUGAAUAAGCCACGGCUAACUACGGGCCAGCAGCCGCGGUAAUACGUAGGUGGCAAGCGUUAAUCGGAUUUAGUGGGUGUAAAGAGCGGGUAGGCUGGAAAGUAAGUCAGAUGUGAAAGCCAUGGGCUUAACCUGUGGCCUGCAUCUGAUACUGUUUAUCUUGAGUACUGGAGAGGGAGAUGGAAUUCCAAGUGUAGCGGUGAAAUGCGUAGAGAUUAGGAGGAAUACCAGUGGCGAAGGCGGUCUGCUGGACAGAAACUGACGCGGAGGCGCGAAAGCGUGGGGAGCAAACAGGAUUAGAUACCCUAGUAGUC
rnacentral:rRNA from 1 species